rnacentral:rRNA from 1 species
UACAGAGGGGGCAAGCGUUAAUCGGAAUUACUGGGCGUAAAGCGUGCGCAGGCGGUUUUGUAAGCCAGAUGUGAAAUCCCCGGGCUUAACCUGGGAAUGGCAUUUGGGACUGCAAGGCUUGAGUGCGGCAGAGGAGACUGGAAUUCCUGGUGUAGCAGUGAAAUGCGUAGAUAUCAGGAGGAAUACCGAUGGCGAAGGCAGGUCUCUGGGCUGACACUGACGCUCAUGCACGAAAGCGUGGGGAGCAAACAGG